rnacentral:rRNA from 1 species
AGGGAAUCUUCGGCAAUGGGGGCAACCCUGACCGAGCAACGCCGCGUGAGUGAAGAAGGUUUUCGGAUCGUAAAGCUCUGUUGUAAGUCAAGAACGGGUGUGAGAGUGGAAAGUUCACACUGUGACGGUAGCUUACCAGAAAGGGACGGCUAACUACGUGCCAGCAGCCGCGGUAAUACGUAGGUCCCGAGCGUUGUCCGGAUUUAUUGGGCGUAAAGCGAGCGCAGGCGGUUUGAUAAGUCUGAAGUUAAAGGCUGUGGCUCAACCAUAGUUCGCUUUGGAAACUGUCAAACUUGAGUGCAGAAGGGGAGAGUGGAAUUCCAUGUGUAGCGGUGAAAUGCGUAGAUAUAUGGAGGAACACCGGUGGCGAAAGCGGCUCUCUGGUCUGUAGCUGACGCUGAGGCUCGAAAGCGUGGGGAGCGAACAGGAUUAGAUACCCUGGUAGUCCACGCCGUAAACGAUGAGUGCUAGGUGUUGGAUCCUUUCCGGGAUUCAGUGCCGAAGCUAACGCAUUAAGCACUCCGCCUGGGGAGUACGACCGCAAGGUUGAAACUCUAAAGUGAAUUGGAC